rnacentral:misc_RNA from 1 species
CAUCAACUCUUCUUAGGAGACCCAGAAAUCAUUUAUUAACUAGUAAGAAACCCAUAAAUAUCUCUCUUUCUAUCUAUUGUUCAUCUCCCAAAAUUGUUCGCGAUGCUUCACUUGACAAGCAUGUUGUGAGGCAAAACAAGAUUCGUUUUGUCCAAAAGCUCAAAACGCUACUCCUUUCGAAGCCAAAGCACUACAUUCCAGUCCACAUUCUAUCCAAAUGUCGGUCCUACCUUUCCCUCCCUGAUCAUCGUUCCAUUCGUUCCAUGAUCCAUCGUUAUCCUUCCAUUUUUGAACUCUUUACAAUUCCAACACCACAUCUACCUUUGAAUGCAACAAAGCCAUAUUCUCAACUAUGCGUUCGUCUAACGUCAGCUGCAGCAGCACUUGCUGAUCAAGAAUUUAAACUCCAUUCCGCAAUUUCCAACAACUUGGCUGCCAAACUUCAGACACUUCUCAUGCUCUCUUCUCAUCGCCGGUUGCUCUUAUCAAAGUUGGUCCAUCUUGCACCAGAUCUUGGCCUCCCCCCUAAUUUUCGGUCCCGCCUCUGCAAUGACC